rnacentral:snRNA from 1 species
GUGCUCACUUUGGCAGCACAUAUACUAAAAGUGGAACGAUACAGAGAAGAUUAAUUACCAUGGCCCCUGCACAAGAAUGGCACACAAAUUCAUGAAGCAUUCUAUAUUAAA